CACGUAGGGCGCGAGCGUUUGUCCGGAAUUAUUGGGCGUAAAGAGCUCGUAGGCGGCCUGUUGCGUCCGCUGUGAAAGCCCGGGGGCUUAACCCCCGGGUCUGCAGUGGAUACGGGCAGGCUAGAGGUAGGUAGGGGAGAAUGGAAUUCCCGGUGUAGCGGUGAAAUGCGCAGAUAUCGGGAGGAACACCGGUGGCGAAGGCG
rnacentral:rRNA from 1 species